rnacentral:sRNA from 1 species
CAUACUAUACUUUCAGGGAUCAUUUCUAUAGUGUGUUGCUGUAAUAUUGAACAAUUUAAAUGCAAACAUCAUCCUCAGGUCAUAUGCUUGUUCCUUCAGGA